rnacentral:lncRNA from 1 species
UUUGGUAUUAAAUGAAAGCUGAAGGACUGGUGAUCAUUGUAGAACACUUUUGGACUUUUGAUUUUGAAUAUUAAAAAAAAUGCACCCAAAUUUUAAAAAGAGGGUAUAUUUUGUCUGUUUGUCAGAUCUGAAAUACCUGUUUUGGUACAUCCGAAGUUCAGGGAACCAGUUCUUUCAUAUAUGCCAUUAAAGGUAUGUUGAUUUUUUCAGUACAAGACAC